rnacentral:misc_RNA from 1 species
UCUAAGGAUCACGGCGGCAGAAGUAGCUCACGCUCUUCUCCUCCUGUCCAAAGAACAUGCCGCCGUCCUCAUGUCCCUUCAUCCUGGAAACGCUCCUCAAUUUGAGAAGUGAAGCCUGAGCUGGCUCACGCCGCCCGCGGCCUUAUGGCCGGCUGGGCACGGGGGCCGGUAGCUCAGGUGGUUAGAGCGCACGCCUGAUAAGCGUGAGGUCGAAGGUUCAACUCCUUCUCGGCCCACCAUCUGUUGCGAUGCCCCUUAACUGUGUGAAGUCUGUAAACUUCGCGCGGGGGCCAUAGCUCAGUUGGGAGAGCGCUAGCUUUGCAAGCUUGAGGUCGUCGGUUCGAUCCCGACUGGCUCCACCAUCUUUUCCAGGAAUGAAGAAACCGAAUCCGCGGGUUCGCUCGCGGUAGAGGCUCGAAGAGCUUCAUCUUUGACAUUGUGAAUGGGUUCUAGAAAUCGAUGCCGUGGUUGGCGAUCGGAGCAAUCCGAUCGAACAACUCACAACAAUGAUUAUCUAGCUGAGAGAUCCAGGCGGCGCCGAGCCGUGCUGGAUCACGAGUACGGCCGGGUAUUACGUACCGGUCGGAACUCAAACCAGAUCACCGAUAUAUCGACGCUGUGUAAUGCAAGCAGGUCUGUCGAUGGUGGUGUGGAUUCUCAAGCGUGAGGUAAGGGCAAUUGGUGGAUGCCUUGGCAUACACAGGCGAUGAAGGACGUGGCACGCUGCGAUAAGCUGCGGUGAGGUGUGAGCAACCUUUGACCCGCAGAUUU